GUGGAUAUAGCUCAGUCGGUUAGAGCGCCAGAUUGUGGCUCUGGAGGUCGUCGGUUCGAUCCCGAUUAUCCACCCCA
rnacentral:tRNA from 1 species